rnacentral:rRNA from 1 species
GAUGAACGCUGGCGGCGUGCCUAAUACUUGCAAGUCGAGCGAAUGGAUUAAGAGCUUGCUCUUAUGAAGUUAGCGGCGGACGGGUGAGUAACACGUGGGUAACCUGCCCAUAAGACUGGGAUAACUCCGGGAAACCGGGGCUAAUACCGGAUAACAUUUUGAACCGCAUGGUUCGAAAUUGAAAGGCGGCUUCGGCUGUCACUUAUGGAUGGACCCGCGUCGCAUUAGCUAGUUGGUGAGGUAACGGCUCACCAAGGCAACGAUGCGUAGCCGACCGGAGAGGGUGAUCGGCCACACUGGGACUGAGGCACGGCCCAGACUCCUACGGGAGGCAGCAGUAGGGAAUCUUCCGCAAUGGACGAAAGUCUGACGGAGCAACGCCGCGUGAGUGAUGAAGACUUUCGGGUCGUAAAACUCUGUUGUUAGGGAAGAACAAGUGCUAGUUGAAUAAGCUGGCACCUUGACGGUACCUAACCAGAAAGCCACGGCUAACUACGUGCCAGCAGCCGCUGUAA